UGGAACGUUGUGUUUAAAUCAAAAGGGAUGCUGUCAAAAAGUGAUUGAAUUCAAAUGGAUUUCCUCGUCUACUAAAUCAACAUAUCCCUUCCCUCUCUCUCUGCUGUGACUCUGCCCUGGUCCUAUGUUGCUCUUUGAGCAACACUACUGUCUUCAGUCAUCAUCGCUCUCCAGGCCUGGAGCCGCUCUAGGACACCUCUAGUGGAGUCAUCAGCUCUAGGACACCUCUAAUGGAGUCAUCAGCUCUAGGACACCUCUAAUGGAGUCAUCAGCUCUAGGACACCUCUAGUGGAGUCAUCAGCUCUAGGACACCUCUAGUGGAGUCAUCAGCUCUAGGACACCUCUAAUGGAGUCAUCAGCUCUAGGACACCUCUAGUGGAGUCAUCAGCUCUAGGACACCUCUAGUGGAGUCAUCAGCUCUAGGACACCUCUAGUGGAGUCAUCAGCUCUAGGACACCUCUAGUGGAGUCAUCAGCUUUAGGUCACCUCUAGUGGAGUCAUCAGCUCUAGGACACCUCUAGUGGAGUCAUCAGCUCUAGGACACCUCUAAUGGAGUCAUCAGCUCUAGGACACCUCUAGUGGAGUCAUCAGCUCUAGGACACCUCUAGUGGAGUCAUCAGCUCUAGAGCUCUGGAGUCAUCAUUUCUCUCCAGGCCUGGAGCCGCUCUAGGACACCUCUAGUGGAGUCAUCAGCUCUAGGACACCUCUAGUGGAGUCAUCAGCUCUAGGACACCUCUAGUGGAGUCAUCAGCUCUAGGACACCUCUAGUGGAGUCAUCAGCUCUAGGACACCUCUAGUGGAGUCAUCAUUUCUCUCCAGGCCUGGAGCCGCUCUAGGACACCUCUAGUGGAGUCAUCAGCUCUAGGACACCUCUAGUGGAGUCAUCAGCUCUAGGACACCUCUAGUGGAGUCAUCAGCUCUAGGACACCUCUAGUGGAGUCAUCAGCUCUAGGUCACCUCUAGUGGAGUCAUCAGCUCUAGGUCACCUCUAGUGGAGUCAUCAGCUCUAGGACACCUCUAGUGGAGUCAUCAUCGCUCUCCAGGCCUGGAGCCGCUCUAGGACACCUCUAGUGGAGUCAUCAGCUCUAGGACACCUCUAGUGGAGUCAUCAGCUCUAGGACACCUCUAGUGGAGUCAUCAGCUCUAGGACACCUCUAGUGGAGUCAUCAGCUCUAGGUCACCUCUAGUGGAGUCAUCAGCUCUAGGUCACCUCUAGUGGAGUCAUCAGCUCUAGGACACCUCUAGUGGAGUCAUCAGCUCUAGGACACCUCUAGUGGAGUCAUCAGCUCUAGGUCACCUCUAGUGGAGUCAUCAGCUCUAGGACACCUCUAAUGGAGUCAUCAGCUCUAGGACACCUCUAGUGGAGUCAUCAGCUCUAGAGCGCUGGAGUCAUCAUUUCUCUCCAGGCCUGGAGCCGCUCUAGGACACCUCUAGUGGAGUCAUCAGCUCUAGGACACCUCUAGUGGAGUCAUCAGCUCUAGGUCACCUCUAGUGGAGUCAUCAGCUCUAGGACACCUCUAGUGGAGUCAUCAGCUCUAGGACACCUCUAAUGGAGUCAUCAGCUCUAGGACACCUCUAGUGGAGUCAUCAGCUCUAGGACACCUCUAGUGGAGUCAUCAGCUCUAGAGCUCUGGAGUCAUCAUUUCUCUCCAGGCCUGGAGCCGCUCUAGGACACCUCUAGUGGAGUCAUCAGCGCUAGGACACCUCUAGUGGAGUCAUCAGCUCUAGGACACCUCUAGUGGAGUCAUCAGCUCUAGGACACCUCUAGUGGAGUCAUCAGCUCUAGGACACCUCUAGUGGAGUCAUCAGCUCUAGGACACCUCUAGUGGAGUCAUCAGCUCUAGGACACCUCUAGUGGAGUCAUCAUUUCUCUCCAGGCCUGGAGCCGCUCUAGGACACCUCUAGUGGAGUCAUCAGCUCUAGGACACCUCUAGUGGAGUCAUCAGCUCUAGGACACCUCUAGUGGAGUCAUCAGCUCUAGGACACCUCUAGUGGAGUCAUCAUUUCUCUCCAGGCCUGGAGCCGCUCUAGGACACCUCUAGUGGAGUCAUCAGCUCUAGGACACCUCUAGUGGAGUCAUCAGCGCUAGGACACCUCUAGUGGAGUCAUCAGCGCUAGGACACCUCUAGUGGAGUCAUCAGCUCUAGGACACCUCUAGUGGAGUCAUCAGCACUAGGACACCUCUAGUGGAGUCAUCAGCACUAGGACACCUCUAGUGGAGUCAUCAGCGCUAGGACACCUCUAGUGGAGUCAUCAGCUCUAGGACACCUCUAGUGGAGUCAUCGCUCUCCAGGCCUGGAGCCGCUCUAGGACACCUCUAGUGGAGUCAUCAGCUCUAGGACACCUCUAGUGGAGUCAUCAGCUCUAGGACACCUCUAGUGGAGUCAUCAGCUCUAGGACACCUCUAGUGGAGUCAUCAUCGCUCUCCAGGCCUGGAGCCGCUCUAGGACACCUCUAGUGGAGUCAUCAGCUCUAGGUCACCUCUAAUGGAGUCAUCAGCUCUAGGACACCUCUAGUGGAGUCAUCAGCUCUAGGUCACCUCUAGUGGAGUCAUCAGCUCUAGGACACCUCUAGUGGAGUCAUCAGCUCUAGGACACCUCUAGUGGAGUCAUCAGCUCUAGGUCACCUCUAGUGGAGUCAUCAGCUCUAGGACACCUCUAGUGGAGUCAUCAGCUCUAGGACACCUCUAGUGGAGUCAUCGCUCUCCAGGCCUGGAGCCGCUCUAAGACACCUCUAGUGGAGUCAUCAUUUCUCCAGGCCUGGAGCCGCUCUAGGACACCUCUAGUGGAGUCAUCAGCUCUAGGUCACCUCUAGUGGAGUCAUCAGCUCUAGGUCACCUCUAGUGGAGUCAUCAGCUCUAGGACACCUCUAAUGGAGUCAUCAGCUCUAGGACACCUCUAGUGGAGUCAUCAGCUCUAGGACACCUCUAGUGGAGUCAUCAGCUCUAGAGCUCUGGAGUCAUCAGCUCUAGGACACCUCUAGUGGAGUCAUCAGCUCUAGGACACCUCUAGUGGAGUCAUCAGCUCUAGAGCUCUGGAGUCAUCAUUUCUCUCCAGGCCUGGAGCCGCUCUAGGACACCUCUAGUGGAACCCUAUUCCAACGUAGUGCUCUAGUUCUGGACAGAGACCUAUGUGGUAGCCCUAUCAGGCCAAUGCUAGGACACUUAAUAAGGAAAAGUGACAUUUAUGAGUUGUUCUAAUGUAUUUAUUUAGCAUGGCAACAUGCAGCAGAGUACCCUUGUAAUGACUUCCGUGUGUGUGCUGGGGUAGAGAAGACAUCACUGACUGUUGCAGCCUCUUAACAAUGUCCCCUGCCUUUGGUCCUCAGGGACUUAAGAAAAGGUGCUGUGUAUGUAGGAUAUUUUAACAAAGUAAAAGAACCAAAAUGAAAUAAUCCUUCAGACUUUGAAAAUGUGUGGUGUUUGCUGAUACGUGUUGCAAUUACGAAGAGAUGGCUGAUAUUGAGUUGGUGAUUGAUUCUGUACUGCUUUCUAGUGACAGGAUGUGAUGUCACUAAUGGUCAGUCUGACCAGUGACAGGAUGUGAUGUCACUAAUGGUCAGUCUGGCCAGUGACAGGAUGUGAUGCUGACUGCCUAGUGGAACCAUGUUAUAGUGUGUCGUUUCAGAUAAAAAGCUGUUGUGAUUUAAA